rnacentral:rRNA from 1 species
GCAGUCGACGGGAUCUACCGGUAAGCUUGCUUAUUGGUAGUGAGAGUGGCGCACGGGUGCGUAACGCGUGAGCAACCUACCCUUGUCAGGGGGAUAGCCCGGCGAAAGUCGGAUUAAUACCGCAUGACAUCCUUGAGAGGCAUCUUUCCAUGAUCAAAGAUUUAUCGGACAAGGAUGGGCUCCCGUGACCUUAGCUAGUUGGUAAGGGAACCGCUUACCCAGGCUACCAUGUCUAGGGGCUCUGAAAAGAGAAUCCCCCCCCCUGGUACUGAAACACCGACCAGACUCCUACCGGAGGCAGCAGUAAAGAAUAUUGGUCAAUGGACGGAAGUCUGAACCAGCCAUGCCGCGUGCAGGAAGACGGCCCUAUGGGUUGUAAACUGCUUUUAUACGGGAACAAACGUCGGUACGUGUACCGGUCUGAGUGUACCGUAAGAAUAAGGAUCGGCUAACUCCGUGCCAGCAGCCGCGGUAAUACGGAGGAUCCGAGCGUUAUCCGGAAUUAUUGGGUUUAAAGGGUGCGUAGGCGGCCAGAUAAGUCAGGGGUGAAAGUCGGCAGCUCAACUGUCGCAGUGCCUUUGAUACUGUUUGGCUUGAAUUCGGUUGAAGAUGGCGGAAUGAACAAGUAGCGGUGAAUGCAUA